ACGAACGCUGGCGGCGUGCCUAACACAUGCAAGUCGAACGGAGCCGCAAGGCUCAGUGGCGAACGGGUGCGUAACACGUGAGGAACAUGGCAAUCGGCGGGGGAUAGCCGGCCCAACGGCCGGGUAAUACCGCGUACGACCUUCGGGUGGCAUCAUCUGGAGGUGAAAGCAGCAAUGCGCCGAUUGGGUGCCUCGCGGCCUAUCAGCUAGUUGGUGAGGUAACGGCUCACCAAGGCUACGACGGGUAGCUGGUCCGAGAGGAUGACCAGCCACAUUGGGACUGAGACACGGCCCAGACUCCUACGGGAGGCAGCAGUGGGGAAUAUUGCGCAAUGGGCGAAAGCCUGACGCAGCGACGCCGCGUGUGGGAUGAAGGUCUUCGGAUUGUAAACCACUGUCGGGAGGGACGAAGCUCUGACGGUACCUCCAAAGGAAGCACCGGCUAACUCUGU
rnacentral:rRNA from 1 species